CGUGUAGGCGGUUGGUCAAGUCGGGUGUGAAAGCCCGGGGCUCAACCUCGGAAGUGCAUCCGAAACUAGCCAGCUAGAGCGCGAUAGAGGAGGGUGGAAUUCCUGGUGUAGCGGUGAAAUGCGUAGAUAUCAGGAGGAACACCGGCGGCGAAGGCGGCCCUCUGGGUCGUUGCUGACGCUGAGACGCGAAAGCGUGGGGAGCAAACAGGAUUAGAUACCCUGGUAGUCCACGCUAUAAACGAUGGGUACUAGGUGUUCGGGGUGUUGACCCCCUGAGUGCCGCAGCUAACGCAUUAAGUACCCCGCCUGGGGACGUACGGCCGCAAGGUUAAA
rnacentral:rRNA from 1 species